rnacentral:rRNA from 1 species
GGUCGUAAAGAUCUAUAAUCGGGGACGAAAAAAAUGACGGUACCUGAAGAAUAAGCUCCGGCUAACUACGUGCCAGCAGCCGCGGUAAUACGUAGGGAGCAAGCGUUAUCCGGAUUUACUGGGUGUAAAGGGCGCGCAGGCGGGCCGGCAAGUUGGAAGUGAAAUCUAUGGGCUUAACCCAUAAACUGCUUUCAAAACUGCUGGUCUUGAGUGAUGGAGAGGCCAGGCGGACUUCCGUGUGUUGCGGUGNUGUGCGUUGNUCUUCGGAGGAGCUCCUGUGGCGUCGGCGGCCUGCUGGACACUAAUUGACGGUGAGGCGCGAAAGCGUGGGGUGCCUCCUAAGGGCCUUCCCCUGGUAGUCCACGCCGUAAACGAUGGAUACUAGGUGUGGGAGGUAUUGACCCCUUCCGUGCCGCAGUUAACACAAUAAGUAUCCCACCUGGGGAGUACGGCCGCAAGGUUGAAACUCAAAGGAAUUGACGGGGGCCCGCACAAGCAGUGGAGUAUGUGGUUUAAUUUGAAGCAACGCGAAGAACCUUACCAGGUCUUGACAUCCCGAUGACCGCCUUAGAGAUAAGGCUUUUUUUUGGAACAUCGGUGACAGGUGGUGCAUGGUUGUCGUCAGCUCGUGUCGUGAGAUGUUGGGUUAAGUCCCGCAACGAGCGCAACCCUUACGGUUAGUUGAUACGCAAGAUCACUCUAGCCGGACUGCCGUUGACAAAACGGAGGAAGGUGGGGAGGACGUCAAAUCAUCAUGCCCCUUAUGACCUGGGGUACACACGUACUACAAUGGCAGUCAUACAGAGGGAAGCAAAACCGCGAGGUGGAGCAAAUCCCUAAAAGCUGUCCCAGUUCAGAUUGCAGGCUGCAACCCGCCUGCAUGAAGUCGGAAUUGCUAGUAAUCGCGGAUCAGCAUGCCGCGGUGAAAAAGGUCCCGGGCCUUGCACA